rnacentral:rRNA from 1 species
CUACGGGUCGCACCAGUGGGGAAUUUUGGACAAUGGGCGCAAGCCUGAUCCAGCAAUGCCGCGUGAGUGAAGAAGGCCUUCGGGUUGUAAAGCUCUUUCAGUCGAGAAGAAAAGGUCGUGACUAAUACUCAUGGCUCAUGACGGUAUCGACAGAAGAAGCACCGGCUAACUACGCGCCAGCAGCCGCGGUAAUACGUAGGGUGCGAGCGUUAAUCGGAAUUACUGGGCGUAAAGGGUGCGCAGGCGGUUUUGUAAGUCAGAUGUGAAAUCCCCGGGCUUAACCUGGGAACUGCGUUUGAAACUACAAGACUAGAGUGUGGCAGAGGGGGGUGGAAUUCCAUGUGUAGCAGUGAAAUGCGUAGAGAUAUGGAAGAACAUCGAUGGCGAAGGCAACCCCCUGGGCUAACACUGACGCUCAGGCACGAAAGCGUGGGGAGCAAACAGGAUUAGAUACCCUCGUAGUC